CACACAGACAAAAUAGUCUCAAGUGAGAGAGAGUGAGAGAGAAAGAAAGCGAGUAAGGGAUGAAAGAGAAUUGGCGUCCCAUGUUUUCUCUGACUCUCUCUAUCAUCAUCUCUCGCUCU
ensembl:ncRNA Y15E3A.13 ncRNA